rnacentral:rRNA from 1 species
UACAGAGGUCUCAAGCGUUGUUCGGAUUCAUUGGGCGUAAAGGGUGCGUAGGUGGCGCCAUAAGUCGGGUGUGAAAUCUCGGGGCUUAACUCCGAAACUGCAUUCGAUACUGUGGUGCUUGAGGACUGGAGAGGAGACUGGAAUUCAUGGUGUAGCAGUGAAAUGCGUAGAGAUCAUGAGGAAGACCAGUGGCGAAGGCGGGUCUCUGGACAGUUCCUGACACUGAGACACGAAGGCCAGGGAGCAAACGGG